UACGAAGGGGGCUAGCGUUGCUCGGAAUCACUGGGCGUAAAGAGCGCGUAGGCGGCCCUGUAAGUCCGCUGUGAAAGUCCAGGGCUCAACCCUGGAAUGCCGGUGGAUACUGUCGGGCUCGAGUCCGGAAGAGGCGAGUGGAAUUCCUGGUGUAGCGGUGAAAUGCGCAGAUAUCAGGAGGAACACCGGUGGCGAAGGCGGGUCUCUGGGCCGAUACUGACGCUGAGGAGCGAAAGCGUGGGGAGCAAACAGG
rnacentral:rRNA from 1 species